GAUGAACGCUGGCGGCGUGCCUAAUACAUGCAAGUCGAGCGAACAGACGAGGAGCUUGCUCCUCUGACGUUAGCGGCGGACGGGUGAGUAACACGUGGAUAACCUACCUAUAAGACUGUGAUAACUUCGGGAAACCGGAGCUAAUACCGGAUAAUAUAUUGAACCGCAUGGUUCAAUAGUGAAAGACGGUUUUGCUGUCACUUAUAGAUGGAUCCGCGCCGCAUUAGCUAGUUGGUAAGGUAACGGCUUACCAAGGCAACGAUGCGUAGCCGACCUGAGAGGGUGAUCGGCCACACUGGAACUGAGACACGGUCCAGACUCCUACGGGAGGCAGCAGUAGGGAAUCUUCCGCAAAGGGCGAAAGCCUGACGGAGCAACGCCGCGUGAGUGAUGAAGGUCUUCGGAUCGUAAAACUCUGUUAUUAGGGAAGAACAAAUGUGUAAGUAACUAUGCACGUCUUGACGGUACCUAAUCAGAAAGCCACGGCUAACUACGUG
rnacentral:rRNA from 1 species